GAUGAACGCUGGCGGCGUGCCUAAUACAUGCAAGUCGAGCGAACAGACGAGGAGCUUGCUCCUCUGACGUUAGCGGCGGACGGGUGAGUAACACGUGGAUAACCUACCUAUAAGACUGGGAUAACUUCGGGAGACCGGAGCUAAUACCGGAUAAUAUAUUGAACCGCAUGGUUCAAUAGCGAAAGACGGUUUUGCUGUCACUUAUAGAUGGAUCCGCGCCGCAUUAGCUAGUUGGUAAGGUAACGGCUUACCAAGGCAACGAUGCGUAGCCGACCUGAGAGGGUGAUCGGCCACACUGGAACUGAGACACGGUCCAGACUCCUACGGGAGGCAGCAGUAGGGAAUCUUCCGCAAUGGGCGAAAGCCUGACGGAGCAACGCCGCGUGAGUGAUGAAGGUCUUCGGAUCGUAAAACUCUGUUAUUAGGGAAGAACAAAUGUGUAAGUAACUAUGCACGUCUUGACGGUACCUAAUCAGAAAGCCACGGCUAACUACGUG
rnacentral:rRNA from 1 species